rnacentral:rRNA from 1 species
UACGUAGGGGGCAAGCGUUGUCCGGAAUCAUUGGGCGUAAAGAGCGUGUAGGCGGCCCGGUAAGUCCGCUGUGAAAACUCGGGGCUUAACUCCGGGCCUGCAGUGGGUACGGGCAGACUAGAGUGCGGUAGGGGAGACUGGAAUUCCUGGUGUAGCGGUGAAAUGCGCAGAUAUCAGGAGGAACACCGGUGGCGAAGGCGGGUCUCUGGGCCGAUACUGACGCUGAGGAGCGAAAGCGUGGGGAGCGAACAGG